rnacentral:rRNA from 1 species
CGGGUGAGUAAUGUCUGGGAAACUGCCUGAUGGAGGGGGAUAACUGCUGGAAACGGUAGCUAAUACCGCAUAACGUCGCAAGACCAAAGAGGGGGACCUUCGGGCCUCUUGCCAUCGGAUGUGCCCAGAUGGGAUUAGCUAGUAGGUGGGGUAACGGCUCACCUAGGCGCGAUCCCUAGCUGGUCUGAGAGGAUGACCAGCCACACUGGAACUGAGACACGGUCCAG